GUUAAACUUGAGAAAGGAUGGUUUUAGAAUCACUUACAUGAUGAUUAACAAGCUCUCUCACCGCGUCAACGCAUUUAUCAUCGUUCAAACUCGACCAGGAUUCUGGCAAGCUGCCAUCGCUACCAGCACCGUCGUCCGUCUGAAAUGACUCUUACCUUCUCCCACCAUUGAUGAAAUCUUUGAGCGCGCUCGUGAUUGCUCAUGAACUCUUGAAACUGACGAUGCUUGGACUGCAAUGUCGUGCGUAGAGAGGCAACUUCCCUACAUAAAUUUUCUACCUAGUACCACACACACACAGAUAUCGAUGCAUUAACAAAAAAGAUAACUGAAAAAAAUAUAGUUUAGAUGCGA